rnacentral:rRNA from 1 species
ACGGCUAACUACGUGCCAGCAGCCGCGGUAAUACGUGGGUGGCAAGCGUUGUUCGGAAUUAUUGGGCGUAAAGCGCGCGCAGGCGGCUUCUUAAGUCUGAUGUGAAAUCUCGGGGCUCAACCCCGAGCGGCCAUUGGAAACUGGGGAGCUUGAGUGCAGAAGAGGAGAGUGGAAUUCCACGUGUAGCGGUGAAAUGCGUAGAGAUUUGGAGGAACACCAGUGGCGAAGGCGACUCUCUGGUCUGUAA